rnacentral:rRNA from 1 species
GGUUAAGUGAAUAAGGGCGCACGGUGGAUGCCUUGGCACUAGGAGCCGAUGAAGGACGGGACUAACACCGAUAUGCUUUGGGGAGCUGUAAGUAAGCUAUGAUCCAGAGAUUUCCGAAUGGGGGAACCCAAUAUCUUUUAUAGGAUAUUACUUUUCAGUGAAUACAUAGCUGAUUAGAGGUAGACGCAGAGAACUGAAACAUCUUAGUACCUGCAGGAAGAGAAAGAAAAUUCGAUUCCCUGAGUAGCGGCGAGCGAAACGGGAAGAGCCCAAACCAACAAGCUUGCUUGUUGGGGUUGUAGGACUCCGAUAUGGUAGUCUGUUAGUAUAGUUGAAGGAUUUGGAAAAUUCCGCUAAAGAGGGUGAAAGCCCCGUAGACGAAAUGCUGACAACACCUAGGAGGAUCCUGAGUACGGCGGAACACGAGAAAUUCCGUCGGAAUCCGCGGGGACCAUCCCGCAAGGCUAAAUACUCCCUAGUGACCGAUAGUGAACCAGUACCGUGAGGGAAAGGUGAAAAGCACCCCGGAAGGGGAGUGAAAUAGAUCCUGAAACCGUGUGCCUACAACAAGUCAAAGCUCGUUAAUGAGUGAUGGCGUGCCUUUUGUAGAAUGAACCGGCGAGUUACGAUUGCAUGCGAGGUUAAGUCGAAGAGACGGAGCCGCAGCGAAAGCGAGUCUGAAUAGGGCGAAUGAGUAUGUAGUCGUAGACCCGAAACCAUGUGAUCUACCCAUGUCCAGGUUGAAGGUGCGGUAAAACGCACUGGAGGACCGAACCCACGUACGUUGAAAAGUGCGGGGAUGAGGUGUGGGUAGCGGAGAAAUUCCAAACGAACUUGGAGAUAGCUGGUUCUCUCCGAAAUAGCUUUAGGGCUAGCCUCGGANGGUGCGGUAAAACGCACUGGAGGACCGAACCCACGUACGUUGAAAAGUGCGGGGAUGAGGUGUGGGUAGCGGAGAAAUUCCAAACGAACUUGGAGAUAGCUGGUUCUCUCCGAAAUAGCUUUAGGGCUAGCCUCGGAAUUGAGAAUGAUGGAGGUAGAGCACUGUUUGGACUAGGGGCCCAUCUCGGGUUACCGAAUUCAGAUAAACUCCGAAUGCCAUUCAUUUAUAUCCGGGAGUCAGACUGCGAGUGAUAAGAUCCGUAGUCGAAAGGGAAACAGCCCAGACCACCAGCUAAGGUCCCAAAAUAUAUGUUAAGUGGAAAAGGAUGUGGGGUUGCACAGACAACUAGGAUGUUGGCUUAGAAGCAGCCACCAUUUAAAGAGUGCGUAAUAGCUCACUAGUCGAGUGACCCUGCGCCGAAAAUGUACCGGGGCUAAACAUAUUACCGAAGCUGUGGACUACACCAUUAGGUGUAGUGGUAGGAGAGCGUUCUAAGGGCGUUGAAGGUCGAUCGUGAGGACGGCUGGAGCGCUUAGAAGUGAGAAUGCCGGUAUGAGUAGCGAAAGACAGGUGAGAAUCCUGUCCACCGUAUGACUAAGGUUUCCUGGGGAAGGCUCGUCCGCCCAGGGUUAGUCGGGACCUAAGCCGAGGCCGAUAGGCGUAGGCGAUGGACAACAGGUUGAUAUUCCUGUACCAGUUGUUUUUGUUUGAGCAAUGGAGGGACGCAGUAGGCUAAGGAAUGCAUGCGAUUGGAAGUGCAUGUCCAAGCAAUGAGUCUUGAGUAGAGUUAAAUGCUUUACUCUCUAAGGACAAGUUGUGACGGGGAGCGAAAUAAUAGUAGCGAAGUUCCUGAUGUCACACUGCCAAGAAAAGCUUCUAGUGAGAAAACAACUGCCCGUACCGUAAACCGACACAGGUAGUCGAGGAGAGUAUCCUAAGGUGAGCGAGCGAACUCUCGUUAAGGAACUCGGCAAAAUGACCCCGUAACUUCGGGAGAAGGGGUGCUGACUUCGGUCAGCCGCAGUGAAUAGGCCCAAGCGACUGUUUAUCAAAAACACAGGUCUCUGCAAAAUCGUAAGAUGAAGUAUAGGGGCUGACGCCUGCCCGGUGCUGGAAGGUUAAGAGGAUGGGUUAGCUUCGGCGAAGCUCAGAAUUGAAGCCCCAGUAAACGGCGGCCGUAACUAUAACGGUCCUAAGGUAGCGAAAUUCCUUGUCGGGUAAGUUCCGACCCGCACGAAAGGCGUAACGAUUUGGGCACUGUCUCAACGAGAGACUCGGUGAAAUUUUAGUACCUGUGAAGAUGCAGGUUACCCGCGACAGGACGGAAAGACCCCAUGGAGCUUUACUGUAGUUUGAUAUUGAGUGUUUGUACCACAUGUACAGGAUAGGUAGGAGCCGAUGAGACCGGAACGCUAGUUUCGGAGGAGGCGCUGGUGGGAUACUACCCUUGUGUUAUGAACCCUCUAACCCGCACCACUAAUCGUGGUGGGAGACAGUGUCAGAUGGGCAGUUUGACUGGGGCGGUCGCCUCCUAAAAGGUAACGGAGGCGCCCAAAGGUUCCCUCAGAAUGGUUGGAAAUCAUUCGAAGAGUGUAAAGGCAGAAGGGAGCUUGACUGCGAGACCUACAAGUCGAGCAGGGACGAAAGUCGGGCUUAGUGAUCCGGUGGUUCCGCAUGGAAGGGCCAUCGCUCAACGGAUAAAAGCUACCCUGGGGAUAACAGGCUUAUCUCCCCCAAGAGUCCACAUCGACGGGGAGGUUUGGCACCUCGAUGUCGGCUCGUCGCAUCCUGGGGCUGUAGUCGGUCCCAAGGGUUGGGCUGUUCGCCCAUUAAAGCGGCACGCGAGCUGGGUUCAGAACGUCGUGAGACAGUUCGGUCCCUAUCCGUCGCGGGCGUUGGAAAUUUGAGAGGAGCUGUCCUUAGUACGAGAGGACCGGGAUGGACUUACCGCUGGUGUACCAGUUGUUCUGCCAAGGGCAUUGCUGGGUAGCUAUGUAGGGAAGGGAUAAACGCUGAAAGCAUCUAAGUGUGAAGCCCACCUCAAGAUGAGAUUUCCCAUUUCUUUAAGAAAGUAAGACCCCUGAGAGAUGAUCAGGUAGAUAGGUUGGAAGUGGAAGGCUAGUGAUAGUUGGAGCGGACCAAUACUAAUCGGUCGAGGACUUAACCAA